UUCCAGACUCCUACGGGAGGCAGCAGUGAGGAAUAUUGGUCAAUGGGCGGAAGCCUGAACCAGCCAAGUCGCGUGAGGGAAUAAGGCCCUACGGGUCGUAAACCUCUUUUGCCGGGGAGCAAGGGCGGGGACGUGUCCCGGCCCGGAGAGUACCCGGAGAAAAAGCAUCGGCUAACUCCGUGCCAGCAGCCGCGGUAAUACGGAGGAUGCGAGCGUUAUCCGGAUUUAUUGGGUUUAAAGGGUGCGUAGGCGGAUUUUUAAGCCGGAGGUAAAGGCCGGGGGCCCACCCCCGGCGAGCCGUUGAAACUGGCUGUCUUGAGAUGUCGAGAGGUAUGCGGAAUGCGCAGUGUAGCGGUGAAAUGCUUAGAUAUUGCGCAGAACUCCGAUUGCGAAGGCAGCAUACCGGCGGCGAUCUGACGCUGAGGCACGAAAGCGUGGGUAUCGAACAGGAUUAGAUACCCGCGUAAC
rnacentral:rRNA from 1 species